UUGCGAGCCGAGCGGAGCCGAGCAGGCAGGGAAAGAAGUCAACGCUGCGCUUGAACCUGUUGCACAAUGGCCUCAGGCUCGUCAGAAGAGUGCACGGCUGGAAGUUUGGUACCAAAGAGGGGCGGCACGAUUGAACCAACCUCUCAUCAUUCCCAACUCUUAACUGGACGGGUCCCUCCACUGAACGUUCCCAAAAACCUAUAUACCACGCUCCAGGAAAGGAACUACAGGGCCCCUGCGUUACCUGCGGCUCCACGUCCAGGAUGGAGACCAUGCCCUGCUGGUGGAUCUGCCGGAUGGUCUCCAGCCGGGUGCCGUACAUGGCGUCCUCGUGGCUGCCGUACUCCAGGUAGUCGUUGUUGCUGAUGUCCUGCAUCAUCUGGUCGUGAGACACAAAGUAGUAGUUCUUGCCGUUCUCCUCGUCCUUCUUGGGAGGCCGAGUCGUGUCUGAGAAAAUUAAGAGUAUGUUAAGGAUAGGAAGAUUAGCCUGAGUCUGUGUGUGUAUUGUCUGUGCUUGGCUUACGAGGGAUGGGGUAGGCGAAGCGGUCGGGGUGUUUGGUGAUGAGCGUGUU